rnacentral:rRNA from 1 species
UACGUAGGAUGCAAGCGUUGUCCGGAUUUAUUGGGCGUAAAGAGCGUGUAGGCGGCCAGGUAGGUCAGCUGUGAAAACUCGAGGCUCAACCUCGAGACGUCGGUUGAAACCACCUGGCUAGAGUCCGGAAGAGGAGAGUGGAAUUCCUGGUGUAGCGGUGAAAUGCGCAGAUAUCAGGAAGAACACCCGUGGCGAAGGCGGCUCUCUGGGACGGUACUGACGCUGAGACGCGAAAGCGUGGGGAGCGAACAGG